rnacentral:rRNA from 14 species
GUGAAGAUGCAAUCUCCCCGCGUCAAGACGGAAAGACCCCGUGCACCUUUACUGUAGCUUUGCAUUGGACUGUGAUGAGGUUUGUGUAGGAUAGCUGGGAGGCUUUGAAGCGGGGGCGCUAGCCCUCGUGGAGCCGACGUUGAAAUACCAGCCUGACGUCAUUGCGGUUCUAACCUGGAUCCCUUAUCGGGAUCGGGGACCGUGCAUGGUAGGCAGUUUGACUGGGGCGGUCUCCUCCCAAAGUGUAACGGAGGAGUUCGAAGGUACGCUAGGUACGG